rnacentral:rRNA from 1 species
GAUGAACGCUGGCGGCGUGCCUAAUACAUGCAAGUCGAGCGAACGUACGAUAAGCUUGCUUCUCUGAUGUUAGCGGCGGACGGGUGAGUAACACGUGGGUAACCUACCUAUAGGACUGGGAUAACUUCGAGGAACCGGAGCUAAUGCCGGAUAAUAUUUUGCACCACAUGGUUCAUUAGUGCAAGACGGUCUUGCUGUCACUGAUAGUUGUAUCCGCGCUGCAUUAGCUAGUUGGUAAGGUAAAGGCUUACCAAGGCAACGAUGCAUAGCCGAACUGAGAGGGUGAUCGGCCACAGUGGAACUGAGACACGGUCCAGACUCCUACGGGAGGCAGCAGUAGGGAAUCUUCCGCAAUGGGCGAAAGCCUGACGGAGCAACGCCGCGUGAGUGAUGAAGGUCUUCGGAUCGUAAAACUCUGUUAUUAGGGAAGAAAAUAUGUGUAAGUAACUGUGCACAUCUUGACGGUACCUAAUCAGAAAGCCACGGCUAACUACGUG